GAUGAACGCUGGCGGCGUGCCUAAUACAUGCAAGUCGAGCGAACGUACGAGAAGCUUGCUUCUCUGAUGUUAGCGGCGGACAGGUGAGUAACAAGUGGAUAACCUACCUAUAAGACUGGGAUAACUUCGGGAAACCGGAGCUAAUACCGGAUAAUAUUUUGGCCAACAUGGUUUAACAAUGAAAGACGGUCUUCAUGUCAUUUAAAGAUGGAUCUGCGCUGCAUUAGCUAGUUGGUAAGGUAACGGCCUACCAAGGCGACGAUGCAUAGCCGACCUGAGAGACUGAUCGGCCACACUGGAACUGAGACACGGUCCAGACUCCUACGGGAGGCAGCAGUAGGGAAUCUUCCGCAAUGGGCGAAAGCCUGACGGAGCAACGCCGCGUGAGUGAUGAAGGUCUUCGGAUCGUAAAACUCUGUUAUUAGGGAAGAACAUAUGUGGAAGUAACUGUGCACAGCUUGACGGUAACUAAUCAGAAAGCCACGGCUAACUACGUG
rnacentral:rRNA from 1 species